rnacentral:rRNA from 1 species
AGAGUUUGAUCAUGGCUCAGAUUGAACGCUGGCGGCGUGGUUAAAGCAUGCAAGUCGAACGUGGCCGCAAGGCCAAGUGGCGAAAGGGUGAGUAAUACGAUCCUAACGUGCCCUGAGGUGGGGGAUAGGUCGGGGAAACCCGGCGUAAUACCCCAUGAUCUCUCCGGAGCAAAGAUUUAUCGCCUUGGGAGCGGGGAUCGACCUAUCAGGUAGUUGGCGGGGUAAUGGCCCACCAAGCCGAAGACGGGUAGCAGGUGUGAGAGCACGGCCUGCCACAUCGGGACUGAGACACUGCCCGGACUCCUACGGGAGGCUGCAGCGACGAAUCUUCCGCAAUGGGCGAAAGCCUGACGGAGCGACGCCGCGUGCGGGAUGAAGCGGCUCUGCCGUGUAAACCGCUGUCAGGGGUUCGAAACACUGAUCAACCCCAAAGGAAGGGGCGACUAACUCUGUGCCAGCCGCCGCGGUAAUAC